AGAAGAAGAGGACAUGGUAUGGUAUUGUUUCGGCUCACGUCGUUCGAACAGAUGUGAGCCGAACCAAUAUCACUCAUGUAUUCUUCAUU
rnacentral:pre_miRNA from 1 species